GACGAACGCUGGCGGCGUGCUUAACACAUGCAAGUCGAACGAAGUGGCGAACGGGUGAGUAACGCGUAAUCAACCUGCACUUCAGAGGGGGACAACAGGGGGAAACGACUGCUAAUACCGCAUACUGAAGGAGGGGAUUGCGUCUGAUUAGCUAGUUGGAGGGGUAACGGCCCACCAAGUCGAUGAUCAGUAGCCGGUCCGAGAGGAUGAACGGCAACAUUCGGACUGAGACACGGCCCAGACUCCUACGGGAGGCAGCACUGGGGAGUCUUCCGCGAUGGACGAAAGUCUGACGGAGCAACGCCGCGUGAGUGAUGACGGCCUUCGGGUUGUAGAGCUCUGUUAAUCGUGACGCGGUACCGUAAUAGAAAGCCACGGCUAACUACGUGCCAGCAGCCGCGGUAAUUC
rnacentral:rRNA from 1 species